rnacentral:lncRNA from 1 species
AUAGAAAAAGCAGCUUUUAGCACUGAAGACAAGCCCUAAAGGAGAUCCUGACAAGCAAUCUGUCUUGGGGGUAAUUUCCAGAUGGAUCCAGUGCAGAAACCACAUUCCUGAAACUAGUAGAUGAAAGCAUGGCAGCUGACAAAGCUUAAAUUUGUGACUCAGGCAAAUCUGUGUUUACCCAGGAUCAAAGAUUGCAGCAAUAAGAUGACACAUGGUGACAAAAAGGAGCCAGAAAAUUCCACCCAUCUCCCUGACCCCUCUGCUUACCAGUGGGAACCAAAAGUAGGGAGGCACUCUGCUGUGCCAGCUGAAAUGGGGUGAAAUUAGCCUCUGAAGACUGGUAACUCAUGUUGAGCAUGAAAAUCACAGGAGAAAAGGACAA